rnacentral:rRNA from 1 species
AUUGAACGCUGGCGGCAGGCCUAACACAUGCAAGUCGAGCGGAUGAAGGGAGCUUGCUCCUGGAUUCAGCGGCGGACGGGUGAGUAAUGCCUAGGAAUCUGCCUGGUAGUGGGGGAUAACGUCCGGAAACGGGCGCUAAUACCGCAUACGUCCUGAGGGAGAAAGUGGGGGAUCUUCGGACCUCACGCUAUCAGAUGAGCCUAGGUCGGAUUAGCUAGUUGGUGGGGUAAAGGCCUACCAAGGCGACGAUCCGUAACUGGUCUGAGAGGAUGAUCAGUCACACUGGAACUGAGACACGGUCAAGACUCCUACGGGAGGCAGCAGUGGGGAAUAUUGGACAAUGGGCGAAAGCCUGAUCCAGCCAUGCCGCGUGUGUGAAGAAGGUCUUCGGAUUGUAAAGCACUUUAAGUUGGGAGGAAGGGCAGUAAGUUAAUACCUUGCUGUUGUGACGUUACCAACAGAAUAAGCACCGGCUAACUUCGUG